UGGGGAAUCUUGCACAAUGGGCGCAAGCCUGAUGCAGCAACGCCGCGUGAGUGAAGAAGGCCCUUGGGUUGUAAAGCUCUUUCGGCCGGGAAGAAGGGUUCCUAGGUAAACAAUCUAGGGAUUUGACGGUACCGGAAUAAGAAGCACCGGCUAAUUCCGUGCCAGCAGCCGCGGUAAUACGGGAGGUGCGAGCGUUGUUCGGAAUGACUGGGCGUAAAGCGCACGUAGGCGGGUCUUUAAGUCGAAUGUGAAAGCCCCAGGCUUAACCUGGGAAUUGCAUUCGAAACUGGAGAUCUUGAAUGCCUGAGAGGUUGAUGGAAUUCCAGGUGUAGGAGUGAAAUCCGUAGAUAUCUGGAGGAACACCGGAGGCGAAGGCGGUCAACUGGUGGUGCAUUGACGCUGAGGUGCGAAAGCGUGGGUAGCAAACAG
rnacentral:rRNA from 1 species